UACGUAGGCAGCGAGCGUUGUUCGGAAUUACUGGGCGUAAAGCGCACGUAGGCGGCUUUGUAAGUUAGAGGUGAAAGCCCGGGGCUCAACUCCGGAAUUGCCUUUAAGACUGCAUCGCUAGAAUUGUGGGAGAGGUAAGUGGAAUUCCGAGUGUAGAGGUGAAAUUCGUAGAUAUUCGGAAGAACACCAGUGGCGAAGGCGGCUCACUGGCCCGGUACUGACACUGAGAUGCGAAAGCGUGGGGAGCAAACAGG
rnacentral:rRNA from 1 species